UACGUAGGGGGCUAGCGUUGUCCGGAAUCAUUGGGCGUAAAGCGCGCGUAGGCGGCCCGGUAAGUCCGCUGUAAAAGUCCAGGGCUCAACCCUGGAAAGCCGGUGGAUACUGUCGGGCUCGAGUCCGGAAGAGGCGAGUGGAAUUCCUGGUGUAGCGGUGGAAUGCGCAGAUAUCGGAAGGAACAUCAGUGGCGAAAGCGACUUCCUGGACCAAUACUGACGCUCAUGUGCGAAAGCGUGGGGAGCAAACAGG
rnacentral:rRNA from 1 species